rnacentral:lncRNA from 11 species
GGAUCCUCCUCUGUCUUAGACUCAGAGACAUCACUGUCACCAGGAACUGCAGAUUCCUGGCAAUGUGACUUUUCCAUGUCUGAAUCUUCUCAUUUCAGAGGUAGAAUUGUGCAGAAUGACUUGAAUAAAGACAAGAGUGGAAGUAUCGUAAAUGCAAUACAGGAUAACAAAAAAUCCAGGAAAGACUAUAGUCCAGCCCUGCAACAGUCUUAUGGACCAUGAACAGGCCUUCAGCUUUAAAAGUUUAAGGAUUCAUCUUGGAAGAAUUGUAAUUGCAUGAGAUCUUUCCUAGAAAAGGCCUAGAAAAUACUUGCAAGAUUAGAACUUAAGUUGAAUAAGAAGAAAAUAAGGCAAAUAUGUAUUCUACUCCAGAUGUGGGAUUCAUACAAUCCUCAAACAUUUGUUGGAUUGGACUCUCAUCUAUCUCCACCAUAGGCUUUGCUGACUGGGACUGACCGGCAUUCAAUCCAACAGCAUUUAAAGGAUUCCCACCCUUGUUCUGCUCAUUGAGUUUAAUGUGAAUAAUAACUUUGUUGCACAGACCAAAAUUGCAGCUGGACCAUUACCCUAUUGCACAACAGUAUGCACUUCUCACUGUCAGCUUGCCUCCUCCCACGAUUAAUCCACCACCCC